rnacentral:pre_miRNA from 1 species
AUAUGAAUCACCUGAGGAUUUCAUUUAAAUGCAGAUUCUAAUUCAGUAAGCCCAGAGUGAGAGCAAAGAAUCUGCAUUUCUAACAAGCUCCCAGGUGAUACUAAC